ensembl:snRNA U6 U6 spliceosomal RNA
GUGCUUGCUUUGGCAGCAUAUAUACUAAGACUGGAACAAUACAGAGAUUAGCAUGGCCACUUUGCAAGGGUGACACGCAAAUUUGUGAAAUGUUCCAUAUAUUG